GUUACUGAGCCCUCAUGUGCUCAAAUGCCGCGAGUGCUCAGAGAGACAGAGGAGCGAGAGAGAGAGAGAGAGAGAAAGCACAAGAACAGCAGGAAAGACAGAAAAAGAAAGCAAGAAGAGGAACUGUCUCUGAGCACCAACUGUUGAGCAAAAUGUGAAUUAAAAAACACUUUCUGAGGUAACGGUUUGCUGGAAUACUAAAGGAAUAUAAUAAAAGUAUUUUAUGGAUCUUUGAAAUACAUGAGUUGAUUGGAGGAGUGGAGAGUGCUUCUUGAGAUCAUGGAAGUGGACAACAUUACAUUAUCAAACCAGUCAAAUGCAUCGUCCCUGUCACCCCAAGGUGGUCCCCAGUACAGCGAUGUAGAAAUCGUAGUCUUUGGCAUCCUGAUGGGAAUUCUGGUCCUGGCUAUCGUCUUCGGGAACAUUCUGGUCAUCACUGCUAUUGCACGCUUCCAGCGUUUACAGACGGUCACUAACUGCUUUAUCAGCUCUUUGGCUUGCGCUGACCUGAUCAUGGGACUUCUGGUUGUGCCAUUCGGGGCCUGCUACAUCCUGUUAAACAAAUGGUACUUUGGCAACUUCUUCUGCGAGUUCUGGACAGCCACCGAUGUCCUCUGCGUGACAGCAAGCAUUGAGACUUUGUGUGUGAUCGCUUUAGAUCGGUACCUGGCGAUCACAUGGCCGCUGAGGUACCAAUCGGUGCUUACUAAGCGCAAGGCCUGCUGGAUAGUACUGGUGGUGUGGGCUGUGGCAGCCCUUAUAUCCUUCCUGCCGAUCCACAUGCAGUGGUGGGUGUCAUCAGGUCUUGAAGCCAAGCGUUGCCGGCGUGAUCCCAACUGCUGCGAGUUUAACACCAACGCACCUUACGCAGUGACCUCAUCGAUCGUGUCCUUCUACAUCCCUCUGGUGAUUAUGGUUUUCGUCUAUGCCCGUGUCUACAAGGAGGCCCGCCGGCAGCUGCAGAAAAUCGACCGCAUCGAAGGGCGCAUACGUUUACAUUGUGAAACCUCGCAGGACGGUAUCGAAGUGAGGAACCGCAAGACUCGGUUCUGCCUGAAAGACCACAAGGCGCUGAAGACGCUGGGCAUCAUCAUGGGCACCUUCACACUCUGCUGGCUGCCGUUUUUCGUGCUCAACGUGGCAUCCAACCUCUGGGAAAUGGGAGACAUCAAGACACCCUUCAGGAUCUUGAAUUGGAUCGGUUAUGCGAACUCAGCCUUUAAUCCCCUGAUAUACUGUCGAAGUCCUGAGUUCAGAUAUGCCUUUCAGGAGAUCCUGUGUCUGAGAAGCUCUCAGUUUUCUUACACACUGAACAAAUCCGGAUAUAUCUACGAUGGCCACAGCUGGCAAGUACGUGCGAAGGGUUCCAGCUCGAAUCUGACAUCUUUUCCCAACUGUGGAAUGAUAGAGCUGGGCACUUGUUCUUCAGCCAGCAGGACCUCAAACACAAAUGGGAAUUGUAAUAAAACAUCUGUAAUUUAAAUAUGUAUUACACUCAGAAACCUUCUCUUGCGUUUAAAUAACUUCAGAAACAUCUGCAUGACUGUGGACAAAGCAAGCUCUACAAAGACAUGAAGAAAAAGCUUGGUUUAAAGAAACUCCAGUGGUCUACUUAGAGCCCUGACAUCAGCCCCACUGAAGAGCUUUGGAAUUAAAUGGAACAUCAACUGGGGCUUUCUUGACCGACAUCAGUGCCCAGCUUGUGGAGUGGAAUUUGGGUGCCACUCGUGCAUUGUCUUUACUAUUCAUGAAGACAAAUUCAGGGUGGUAAAGUGACUGGUAGACUGAUUAUCUUCUUACAAUAAAAUUACAGUGGUACCUUGAAACUCAACGUCAGCUGGUUCUGGGAGUGGCGUCGAGUUUCAAAGGCAUUGAGUUUUAAAGGCGUUGAGUUUUAAGGUAUUUUUUCCAUAAGGAUGUAUGGGAAACCUGUUAAUGUGUUCCUGUUAAUAAAAUACAA